rnacentral:ncRNA from 16 species
GACGGCAACGAUCGCGUCGGUGUCCUGAGAGGGACUUAAUAGGGAACGUGGUGCGGACGGCUUGCCGUCUCAAUCCAAGGCUGUCCCUGCAACUGUAAGCGGUGAGUGCGAUGCAUAUCGCUUCCCUCUGGGGGGGGCAGCCACUGGGCUGGACGUUCGAGUCCAUCAAGCCUGGGAAGGCCGUGCGUCACGCAAUGACCCGCAAGCCAGGAGACCUGCCGGCGUCUGGUCGCUCUUG